GCUUCAAUGUGUGUCUGUUGGAUUUCGAUGUCACGAACUCGAUUCGCCGUUUGCUUUCGUCACUUACCUUGCACUGGCUGGGGGUUGCAACGCGGGUUGUGUCUUACCCCCUCCUUCACCCUCUAUCCUUGUCUGUAACGUGCCUGGCGGGCCUCCGCCGCAUCGUUGUGGCUGUCUGGAUUCUCUAGAAGUAACCUCACCAUCGACACAUGGCUUUUUGGUUGGUUUGCAAUGUUGUCUAUUUCAAUUCCCAGCAGUACCGGUAAGCAGUGGAAUUUUACCGACAGAAUCAUCACGGAAUCAAGCGGGUGGACGAUAAACAAAUGGUCGCUACACGUGACACCGCCGCUCAGGGUGCUGUGUUUCCCGCGCGGAUGAAUAUCGAUAAGCCCUCUCACCUGGGUCAAAUCCAGCUCUUCAUACAUAUUGCUAUGUCAUUUAGACAAUCAGCACAGCAGAACAGUGAUAAACAACCCGGCCCAAGCAGUCCAGCUCGGAAAUGUCUUACUGGCCUCAUGUGAGUAGCGGUUUGUGUUUCCUACAAUCCAACUCUGCUCGCCACGAGCAGCACAAAACUACCCACCAAAAUGUAAUUGAACGACUAUAAUCUGCUGACGCAAGCAGAAACCGUAAUAAACCGACACGUUAGGUUGCAAUUAG